AGCGAAGGGAUCCAACCUUACAGCCGAAAAGCAGCGUUCAGAUAAAGUGAAACUACAGAACGAGAAAAGGGAAUGGCAAUUCGGAUACAGCAGAGAACCGAACGAGAAAAGUGAAUGGAGACUGUGGCGAAACCAACCUCGCCACUGUGAACUGGAGAAGCCUGGUUGCUCGCCUGCUCCCUUUGGACUAUGGCCCUGCAGGUUAAACCGUUUAUUUCCCCUGCAGAAAGGCUUAUUUGUGUGAUCUGAG